GUGGGGAAUUUUGGACAAUGGGCGCAAGCCUGAUCCAGCCAUGCCGCGUGCAGGAUGAAGGCCUUCGGGUUGUAAACUGCUUUUGUACGGAACGAAAAGACUCUGGUUAAUACCUGGGGUCCAUGACGGUACCGUAAGAAUAAGCACCGGCUAACUACGUGCCAGCAGCCGCGGUAAUACGUAGGGUGCGAGCGUUAAUCGGAAUUACUGGGCGUAAAGCGUGCGCAGGCGGUUAUGUAAGACAGAUGUGAAAUCCCCGGGCUCAACCUGGGAACUGCAUUUGUGACUGCAUAGCUAGAGUACGGCAGAGGGGGAUGGAAUUCCGCGUGUAGCAGUGAAAUGCGUAGAUAUGCGGAGGAACACCGAUGGCGAAGGCAAUCCCCUGGGCCUGUACUGACGCUCAUGCACGAAAGCGUGGGGAGCAAACAGGAUUAGAAACCCGAGUAGUCC
rnacentral:rRNA from 1 species